rnacentral:lncRNA from 1 species
CCGUACACAGACGCCGAACGAACAGCACCUCCUCUGUUCGCCCAAGGCUCAACAACAACGGAUACAUGUAUAAAGAAAUUAAAUAAUUCCCAGGAUCCUAUUUCAAUAUACAUGGCUUGCACGAAGGCAAGCAACAAACACAAGUGAUAGUAAGUCUAACUAAACAUGAAAUCCACUGUAAUUUAAAACUUUACAUAACUGAAACAUUUAGUUAUAACAUGUCCUUCAUUACAUUCAUUUAUACAUCUCUGUACAUCAAAAUAGAUGAUACACGAAC